rnacentral:rRNA from 1 species
UCGAGAAUAAUUCACAAUGGGGGCAACCCUGAUGGUGCAACGCCGCGUGGAGGAUGACGGUCUUCGGAUUGUAAACUCCUGUCAUCUGGGAGUAAGGCAUGGUUGUUAAUAGCAAACAUGAUUGAUAGUACCAGAAGAGGAAGGGACGGCUAACUUCGUGCCAGCAGCCGCGGUAAUACGAAGGUCCCAAGCGUUGGUCGGAAUCACUGGGCGUAAAGGGAGCGAAGGCGGCGUGGUAAGUCAGAUGUG